AGGAAAAGGAUGUAAAACGAGCCAGAAGCAUCGCAGAAGUCAAGGCGUGCGGAGGCGCGGCCAAGCAGUGACCCCCACAGUGAUAGGAAUGGCUUCUGUUGUGACAAAUUGCAAAGCAACAGCUCUGCCAGUGUGACGCUGGCAGGGGCUGCAGCAGGCAGGUUGUACGCAGAAAGGAGUAAUGAAUUAGCAGAUUAUGGACUUACCCAUUGGAUGCUGAAUGCUACACAUGAGUUUUGGACCUCCUCCUAUGCAGAUAAGAACAUUCAGCCAUCUCGUGCUGUUCUGAGGAUUUCUGGAGAAGCAUCAGAGGGAGGAAAUACUGGUGUUGCAGCCAUUGAACUACCAACUGCCUCUGUCUGUGCCCGAGCACGGCAUUCCCAUCAGAGAGCAGGUGUUCUUGCAGGGUUUCAGAAGAAAUCCUCUGUGUGUUCUCCUGAAUUGUAAAGGCUGGUAAGAAUGAGAAGCCAAAGUCAUCCAUUAAUCCACAGGCAAAGUACUAUUCAAGCAGCUGCAGUGAAAGCUCUCACAUGCUGCCCUGGAAAUAACCCCAGCCUU